rnacentral:rRNA from 1 species
UACAGAGACCUCAAGCGUUAUCCGGAUUUAUUGGGCGUAAAGCGUCCGCAGGUGGUUUAGUAAGUCAGGGGUCAAAACCUAUCGCUUAACGAUAGGAUCGCCUUUGAUACUGCUAAACUCGAGUAUGGAAGAGGUAAGCGGAAUUCUCGGUGUAGUCGUAAUAAGCGUUGAUAUCGAGAAGAACACCAAAUGCGAAGGCAGCUUACUGGUACAUUACUGACACUCAGGGACGAAAGCGUGGGGAGCAAACAGG